CUCGUGUCGGGGAGGCACCUGUGGUGGCUAAGUGCUAAGACAGGACUUCCCUCAGACCCUCCCUCACUCUUAAUCUUCCUUCCUUCCUUCCCUUUCCUUCCUUUCUUUCUUCCCUUCCCUCCUUUCCUUUCCUUCCUUCCCUCCUUUCUUCCUUCCCUUCCUUACUUCUCUUCCUUCUUUCUUUCCUUCCAUUCCUUCCUUUCUUCCUUCCCUUUCCUUCCUUUCCUUUUCUCCCUCCCUUCCUUUCCUUCCUUCCCUCCUUUCCUUCCCUCCUUCCUUCCCUUCCCUCCCUCCCUUCCUUUCCUUCCCUUUUUUCCUUUCUUCCUUCCCUUCUUUCCUUCCUUCCCUUCCUUCCUUCCUUCCCUCCUUUUUUUCCCUUCUUCCUUCCUUCCCUCCCUCCCUUUCCUUCCCUUUUUUCCUUUCUUCCUUCCCUUCCUUCUUUCCUUCCUUCCCUUCGCUUCCUCUCCUUCCUUCCCUUUCCUCCCUCCCUUCCUUUCCUUCCUUCCCUCCUUUCCUUCCUUCUUCUUUUUCCUUCCCUCUUCAUUCUUCUUCCUCUCUUUCCUUCUUUUUCCUUCCUUGCUCUCUUCCCAUUUUCCUUCUUUCUGUUUCUCUUUCCUCUUUCCCUUUCUCCUUUCCUGUCCCUUCUUGCAUGCUCAAAUGCAAAAGGGGAAACAUUUUCCUUUGGCUUGUUUUGUUUUGCUAGCUCUCUGCCAGUGAAAAUGGAGCUCGGAGGCCAUACGAUCCUCCCCAAACUCCGUUUUCAUUGGCAGAGGCACCGCAGGCUGGUCCUUUGCUCUUUCCAGGGCGUGGUUCUUGAGUUUGACCCCCUUGGUCUAGAUCUGAGGUUGACCACGUCUUUCCAGUCACCUUAUCUGCUGCCUUUUGUUUUGUUUUGCUUUUUUAAAAAGGGAUUCAGUUUGAGUCAUCUUCAUGGAGACAUUCCUGUCCCGCGCUCUGAGUGAAUUCUUUUUUCACAAUCUUGAAAAAAUGGAAAGACUGCCCAAGCCUGGGACUUCCCUAAGCUCCUAUAAAAAGGGGAAAAUGGAAGUAGUAGGAUCAGGCCAGGAGAAAAG
rnacentral:lncRNA from 1 species